UGUGUGUGUGUGCGUGUGUGUGUGCGUGUGAGACGCACUUGGCCUCCAGGUAUUCCCGCGGCAGCGUCUCGACUUCCUGGUGGGCCAUUCCCGAUGACAUCAGCUCUUUUUCAACCAGUUCUUCUGAAGAGGACAGUUCUGGCAUCUUGGACACGGUGGGCAGUGUGUGUGUGUGUGUGUGUGUGUGUGUGUGUGUGUGGUACCUCCUCAGCCAUCCUCCAGCAGCAGGCCUUCCAGAUUCCUCUCUGAGGGUUUCCUUCAACAGGCUGCAGCUGCCCACUGCCUGCAGAGACACGAUGGAGACAUCACGAAGACGGCGCCAACUGGACCCGGUCCCUGCAGACACAGACAGCUCAUCAGUCAGAGACAAGUGGACAGACAGACAGACAGACAGGUACACGUGGACAGGUGCGUACUUGUACAGCGAGGUGAUGAGUCUCCA